CGUUCCCGGGCCUUGUACACACCGCCCGUCACACCACGAGAGUUUGUAACACCCGAAGCCGGUGGGGUAACCGUAAGGAGCCAGCCGUCGAAGGUGGGAUAGAUGAUUGGGGUG
rnacentral:rRNA from 1 species